rnacentral:rRNA from 1 species
UACGUAGGGUGCGAGCGUUGUCCGGAAUUACUGGGCGUAAAGAGCUCGUAGGUGGUUUGUCGCGUUGUCCGUGAAAACUCACAACUCAAUUGUGGGCGUGCGGGCGAUACGGGCAGACUGGAGUACUGCAGGGGAGACUGGAAUUCCUGGUGUAGGCGGUGGAAUGCGCAGAUAUCGGGAGGAACACCAGUGGCGAAGGCGACUACCUGGCCUGUUCUUGACGCUGACGGCGCGAAAGCUAGGGGAGCAAACGGGGAUUAAGAAACCC